rnacentral:rRNA from 1 species
GAUGAACGCUGGCGGCGUGCCUAACAUAUGCAAGUCGAGCGAUUUACUUCGGUAAAGAGCGGCGGACGGGUGAGUAACGCGUGGGUAACCUGCCCUGUACACACGGAUAACAUACCGAAAGGUAUGCUAAUACGAGAUAAUAUACUUUUAUCGCAUGGUAGAAGAAUCGAAGCUCCGGCGGUACAGGAUGGACCCGCGUGUUAUUAGCCAGUUGGUAAGGUAACGGCUUACCAAGGCGACGAUCAGUAGCCGACCUGAGAGGGUGAUCGGCCACAUUGGAAGUGAGACACGGUCCAGACUCUUACGGGAGGCAGCAAUGGUGAAAAUUGCAAAAUGGGCGAAAGGAUGAUGCAUCAAGGCCGCGUGAGCGAUGAAGGCCUUGGGGUCGUAAAGCUCUGUACUCAAGGAAGAUAAUGACGGUACUUGAGGAGGAAGCCCCGGCUAACUACGUGCCAGCAGCCGCCGUAAUAC